CCCUCUGUCCUGGGGAACCCCUCUGCCUGCUAUCUGCACCAAGAGGAAUCAACUUAAUGUCUGUUCCUUUAUCUGCACCACGAGGCACCAAGAGGAAUCAACUUAAUGUCUGCUAUCUGCACCAGGAAUCAACAUGGUCUGCUAUCUGCACCAGGAAUCAACAUGGUCUGCUAUCUGCACCAGGAAUCAACAUGGUCUGCUAUCUGCACCAGGAAUCAACAUGGUCUGCUAUCUGCACCAACCAUGUGGCAGACCUGGACUGUAAAGGCACAGUGGGAUUAAAGAAUGUAGCUGACCUGAGAAGUAUUUUUUACUGUCUGUUUCCUCAACGUUCCUAAAGUCACAAACACUUAGAAGCCAACUUGAUGUUUGAUCCAAACGCUUUGAUUUGAAAUAGUUAUGUUUAAUCUUUAUGUUCUUCAAUGUUGUAAUAUAGAAUCACGAAGGGGCAGUAGGGUUGAUGUUAAAAGGUGCUCUCCUGUUGUCGCUGUCGGAUGAACACUUCUUAUCUCCACAACAGAACAUUUUCAGGAAAUGGGGGAAAACUGCCAUAUUUUCCCAUUAACAAUUUACGAAACCUCCAAAAUAAAAAUAAAAACUAAAAUCAAUUUCUCGUCCUCGAGUCAUGAAGUGUUGAGAGUACACUACGGGGAGUUACCGCUUUCACUUUCUGUAAGCAAAUCAAAAUAAAUACAAAAUGGUCAAAUUGCAAAAAUUGAGUUCCAAGGUUUUCAUUCGACAGCAUUUCUAAAAACCUUUUCUAUCACUAGUCUGUUUAUAUGCCGCUGUCAACACGUCUUAGCAAUAACAAAGUAGUUGUUUUAGUGUGUUUUAAAAAGUUAGCAGCACAAAUGUAAGCAGUUCCUGUGGGGAGAAUGACGGUUGUAUUGGACAUGUGCUGAUAUCCUACAAGAGGCUGUGUGUUAAUAUAGGUGUAGACCAGAGCCCUAUGGCACCCUAUUCCCUACAUAGUGCACUACUGUAGAAUAGUAUGGGUCCUUUCUCUUUGCUUUCCUUGUUACUACUCUUGCCUUGUCCAUGGAUCGCUCAGCUGAUACACAAACCUGGGCCGCAUGACACAAGGCACACUAUUCCCUACGUAGUGCACUACUUUUGGUCAAGACUUUGGUCAAAAGUAGUGCACUUCACUCAAGGAAUAGGGUGCCAUUUGUGAUGCAGGACCCAAAUGCAUUAUAAUCACAGUAGCAAUCUGGGCCCAUAGGGCUCUGGUCUACAGUAGUGCACUAUGUAGGGAAUAGGGUGCCAUAGGGCCUGGUCUAAAAGUAGUGCACCGUAUAGGGUGCCAUGUAGGAUACAUCCACAUCGCACUCACAAUGUCAAAAUGUCUCUCUCUGUACAUAAGCUCCUCCACUGAAGUGUCUUGUUGUAUUUCAUAUUUAUUGAAACUGAUUUCACCUCAAGUUGUUCAUUUGAUUAAUUAAUUUACAUCAAAUAUAGAUUUUCCUUUUCAGCACUAAGUUAGGAAAAAGCUCUGUUUUUGUUGUAAAGUACAUAUGAAGCUUCAUUUACAGGGCAGAAUUAUUUUAAAAUAUACAAAUUAUUAUUCUUGUUGAUUGUGUCCCAGAGCUCUGGUCAAAAUAAGUACACUAAAUAGGGAAUAGCGUGCCACAAGGCUCUGAUCUAAAGUAGUGCACUAUAUAGGGAAUAGGGUUCUAUAGGGCUCUGAUCUAAAGUAGUGCACUAUGUAGGGAAUGGGGUGCCAUAGGGCUCUGGUCUAAAGUAGUGCACUAUGUAGGGAAUAGGGUGCCAUAGGGCUCUGGUCUAAAGUAGUGCACUAUGUAGGGAAUAGGGUUCUAUAGGGCUCUGAUCUAAAGUAGUGCACUAUGUAGGGAAUGGGGUGCCAUAGGGCUCUGGUCUAAAGUAGUGCACUAUGUAGGGAAUAGGGUGCCAUAGGGCUCUGGUCUAAAGUAGUGCACUAUGUAGGGAAUAGGGUUCUAUAGGGCUCUGGUCUAAAGUAGUGCACUAUGUAGGGAAUAGGGUUCCAUAGGGCUCUGGUCUAAAGUAGUGCACUAUGUAGGGAAUAGGGUUCUAUAGGGCUCUGGUCUAAAGUAGUGCACUAUGUAGGGAAUAGGGUUCUAUAGGGCUCUGGUCUAAAGUAGUGCACUAUGUAGGGAAUAGGGUUCCAUAGGGCUCUGGUCUAAAGUAGUGCACUAUGUAGGGAAUAGGGUUCUAUAGGGCUCUGGUCUAAAGUAGUGCACUAUGUAGGGAAUAGGGUUCUAUAGGGCUCUGGUCUAAAGUAGUGCACUAUGUAGGGAAUAGGGUGCCAUAGGGCUCUGGUCUAAAGUAGUGCACUAUGUAGGGAAUAGGGUGCCACAGGGCUCUGAUCUAAAGUAGUGCACUAUGUAGGGAAUAGGGUUCUAUAGGGCUCUGGUCUAAAGUAGUGCACUAUGUAGGGAAUAGGGUGCCAUAGGGCUCUGGUCUAAAGUAGUGCAAUAUGUAGGGAAUGGGGUGCCAUAGGGCUCUGGUCUAAAGUAGUGCACUAUGUAGGGAAUAGGGUUCUAUAGGGCUCUGAUCUAAAGUAGUGCACUAUGUAGGGAAUAGGGUUCUAUAGGGCUCUGAUCUAAAGUAGUGCACUAUGUAGGGAAUAGUGUUCUAUAGGGCUCUGAUCUAAAGUAGUGCACUAUGUAGGGAAUAGGGUUCUAUAGGGCUCUGAUCUAAAGUAGUGCACUAUGUAGGGAAUGGGGUGCCAUAGGGCUCUGGUCUAAAGUAGUGCACUAUGUAGGGAAUGGGGUGCCAUAGGGCUCUGGUCUAAAGUAGUGCACUAUGUAGGGAAUGGGGUGCCAUAGGGCUCUGGUCUAAAGUAGUGCACUAUGUAGGGAAUGGGGUGCCAUAGGGCUCUGGUCUAAAGUAGUGCACUAUGUAGGGAAUAGGGUUCUAUAGGGCUCUGGUCUAAAGUAGUGCACUAUGUAGGGAAUAGGGUUCUAUAGGGCUCUGGUUUAAAGUAGUGCACUAUGUAGGGAAUAGGGUGCCAUAGGGCUCUGGUCUAAAGUAGUGCACUAUGUAGGGAAUAGGGUGCCAUAGGGCUCUGGUCUAAAGUAGUGCACUAUGUAGGGAAUAGGGUGCCAUAGGGCUCUGGUCUAAAGUAGUGCACUAUGUAGGGAAUAGGGUGCCAUAGGGCUCUGGUCUAAAGUAGUGCACUAUGUAGGGAAUAGGGUGCCAUAGGGCUCUGGUCUAAAGUAGUGCACUAUGUAGGGAAUGGGGUUCUAUAGGGCUCUGGUCUAAAGUAGUGCACUAUGUAGGGAAUGGGUGCCAUAGGGCUCUGGUCUAAAGUAGUGCACUAUGUAGGGAAUGGGGUGCCAUAGGGCUCUGGUCUAAAGUAGUGCACUAUGUAGGGAAUGGGGUGCCAUUUGGGACAUAUUGUGUUUUGUUUUGGAGAUGACUCCAACAUUGGGAUGCUGCUAGAUGAUAGGUCUGUUGGUCUGUUGCUUUUUCAGGAUAAUAAUAUUUCUACAUUUAACAGUUUCAGCUCACAUGAUAGGUUGCUUUGGUUUUCUAAAUAAAUGUAGUAUGAAAAUAAUGAA